GACGAACGCUGGCGGCGUGCUUAACACAUGCAAGUCGAACGGAAAGGCCCUGCUUUUGUGGGGUGCUCGAGUGGCGAACGGGUGAGUAACACGUGAGUAACCUGCCCUUGACUUUGGGAUAACUUCAGGAAACUGGGGCUAAUACCGGAUAGGAGCUCCUGCUCCAUGGUGGGGGUUGGAAAGUUUCGGCGGUCGGGGAUGGACUCGCGGCUUAUCAGCUUGUUGGUGGGGUAGUUGCUUACCAAGGCUUUGACGGGUAGCCGGCCUGGGAGGGUGAACGGCCACAUUGGGACUGAGAUACGGCCCAGACUCCUACGGGAGGCAGCAGUGGGGAAUAUUGCACAAUGAGCGGAAGCCUGAUGCAGCAACGCCGCGUGCGGGAUGACGGCCUUCGGGUUGUAAACCGCUUUCGCCUGUGACGAAGCGUGAGUGACGGUAAUGGGUAAAGAAGCACCGGCUAACUACGUG
rnacentral:rRNA from 1 species